AACCACGCAACCCCAGCCUCAAGCUGUGCCCUUGACUGAAAGUUCCCUGAGCCAUCAGCCCGUGCUUUGUUUCUUCUGGUGAAAUAAAAGGGCCCGUCUUUCCCUCCUGCGCUCGUACAGCAGCAGGAGCGAGGUUGACUCCAGCCCAAAGAGGACUUUGAAGAGCUCUGGAGAAGCUGGAGCCAAAAUGAUGGGAGCGACGAUGGGAAAUGGAAGCUGGUGUUUGGCUGUAAUAUCCCAGGGCCCUGUGGGUAUGAGGUGCCACAGCCCGUGCUGCUGGGUUGGGAUGUGAAGCAGGACGUGAUCGCAGCUAUCUCCAUGGACGUGUGCGCUCGCUGUUCCUCCGUGGCCAGAAAAUAAUAGUAAAAAAAACACUGGGAAGGC